rnacentral:lncRNA from 1 species
UGUGUGUGUGUAUGUGUGCUUAAACUAGUGUGUGUGUGUGUGUGUGUGUGUGUGUGUGUGUAUGUGUGCUUAAACUAGUGUGUGUGUGUGUGUGUGUGUAUGUGUGCUUAAACUAGUGUGUGUGUGUGUGUGCUUCAACUAGUGUGUAUGUGUGCUUAAACUAGUGUGUGUGUGUGUAUGUGUGCUUAAACUAGUGUGUGUAAUCAGAAUCUGGAACGGAAAUAUCUUGUUGUUCAAAAGCAUAGUAAGAUUAAUGCUCAAAAAGCAUAGCGAGAUGACCAUGGACGUGGGAACCCACCAUGUGGUUAUCUCUGCCAGAUAGUGCGCUGGCGUCGGAGUCACACCAACUUCAGCCUAUAAAACCUUUGCUUCUCUCUCGUCUGCUGAGAUAUCUGAAAAGAAGAGGGUUUUACCUAAACCAGAGAUCUACAAAUCAUGGCUCCAGUUGAGGCCAACAGGACCUCAUAGAGAACGGAAACAAAGCCAACCUCAGAGGAGACCACAGCUGGGCAAGACGCACUGAUUCCCAUACACAUCCAGACAAAGUCAAAAGGUGAGGAUUAUGAAAUUAAAAGGCUUAACCAAUAUAGUGUUCAUUUUAGAGAUGAUAACAAAAGCGUACACUUCGUCGGCCACUCUACCACACAAUCACAUCAUUAGAUUAAGCUUCUCUGCCUUCAUGUGGAGAUGGUGAUUUAAAGAGCAGGCGCACUUCUCUGCCUUCACGUGGAGAUGGUGAUUUAAGAGCAGGCGCACUUCUCGGUCUCGUUGAAUGACCCACAAAGAAAUGGACCCGCCAGCAGAGUAACCAACCCUAGAGCACCCCAGGUCAAAGGUCAAGUCAGGUCAAAGUGUUUAUUAUCGCAUACACCAAAUUGCUUCAGCGCAGCAGCGAAAUUCUUACGACUUGGCAGCCAACAUCUACGCAGUAGACGGCAUACAACAGGUAACAAAAAUAACAUAUACCAAAAAUAACAUAUAACAAGUAACAACAGUUUGAAAUACAAGAAGGGCAGUUUCCAGGGAUAUUAAGUUAAAUAAAAAUAUGUGAAUAUAUAUAUACGUAGCA